rnacentral:rRNA from 1 species
UACGGAGGGUGCAAGCGUUAUCCGGAUUUACUGGGUUUAAAGGGUGCGUAGGCGGACUUUUAAGUCAGGGGUGAAAUCCCGGGGCUCAACCCCGGAACUGCCUUUGAUACUAUUGGUCUUGAAUGUUGUGGAGGUGGGCGGAACGGGUCAUGUAGCGGUGAAAUGCAUAGAUAUGACCCGGAACACCGAUUGCGAAGGCAGCCCGCUACGCAACGAUUGACGCUGAGGCACGAAAGCGUGGGGAGCAAACAG